rnacentral:rRNA from 1 species
CCUACGGGUGACUGCAGUCGAGAAUCAUUCACAAUGGGGGAAACCCUGAUGGUGCGACGCCGCGUGGGGGAAUGAAGGUCUUCGGAUUGUAAACCCCUGUCAUGUGGGAGCAAAUUAAAAAGAUAGUACCACAAGAGGAAGAGACGGCUAACUCUGUGCCAGCAGCCGCGGUAAUACAGAGGUCUCAAGCGUUGUUCGGAAUCACUGGGCGUAAGGCGUGCGUAGGCUGUUUCGUAAGUCGUGUGUGAAAGGCGCGGGCUCAACCCGCGGACGGCACAUGAUACUGCGAGACUAGAGUAAUGGAGGGGGAACCGGAAUUCUUGGUGUAGGAGUGAAAUGCGUAGAUAUCGAGAGGAACACUCGUGGCGAAGGCGGGUUCCUGGACAUUAACUGACGCUGAGGCACGAAGGCCAGGGGAGCGAAAGGGAUUAGAUACCCUUGUAGUC